GACGAACGCUGGCGGCGUGCCUAAUACAUGCAAGUAGAACGCAGUUGCGAACGGGUGAGUAACGCGUAGGUAACUGCCUCAUAGCGGGGGAUAACUAUUGGAAACGAUAGCUAAUACCGCAUACUGUGAGAUGGACCUGCGUUGUAUUAGCUAGUUGGCGAGGUAAAGGCUCACCAAGGCGACGAUACAUAGCCGACCUGAGCGGUGGUUCCGCCGACCUGGGGGUGUGGAAGGGCCCCAGCUCCGUCGGGAGGCGGGAGUAGGGGAACAUCGGCAAAUGGCGGAAGUCUGGACGAGCAAAGCCGGGGGGGUUAAUAAGGUUUUCGGAUCGGUAAGGUACGUUGUGAGAGAAGCGGUAACUAACCAGAAAGGGACGGCUAACUACGUGCCAGCAGCCGCGGUAAUAC
rnacentral:rRNA from 1 species